rnacentral:rRNA from 1 species
CUUGCUCCUGAGAGCCCAGCGGCGGACGGGUGAGUAACACGUAGGCAACCUGCCCGCAAGACCGGGAUAACAUAGGGAAACUUAUGCUAAUACCGGAUAGGGUCCUCUCUCGCAUGAGAGGGGACGGAAAGGUGGCGCAAGCUACCACUUGCGGAUGGGCCUGCGGCGCAUUAGCUAGUUGGUGGGGUAACGGCCCACCAAGGCGACGAUGCGUAGCCGACCUGAGAGGGUGACCGGCCACACUGGGACUGAGACACGGCCCAGACUCCUACGGGAGGCAGCAGUAGGGAAUUUUCCACAAUGGGCGAAAGCCUGAUGGAGCAACGCCGCGUGAACGAAGAAGGCCUUCGGGUUGUAAAGUUCUGUUGUCAGGGACGAAACCGUACCGUUUGAAGAAGGCGGUACCUUGACGGUACCUGACGAGAAAGCCACGGCUAACUACGUGCCAGCAGCCGCGGUAAUACGUAGGUGGCAAGCGUUGUCCGGAAUUAUUGGGCGUAAAGCGCGCGCAGGCGGCCAGGUAAGUCUGGUGUCAAAGCCCGGGGCUCAACCCCGGUACGCAUCGGAAACUGUCUGGCUUGAGUGCAGGAGAGGAAAGCGGUAUUCCACGUGUAGCGGUGAAAUG